rnacentral:tRNA from 1 species
GCUGCGGCUGGUCGGCGCGGACGACGACGCGCCGUCGCUGGUCACCCAGGUGGCGGGCAACGGGCUGAUGCUGACGUUCGUGUCGAUGUCGCUGCU